CCUACGGGCGGCAGCAGUGGGGAAUAUUGCACAAUGGGGGAAACCCUGAUGCAGCGACGCCGCGUGAGUGAAGAAGUAUUUCGGUAUGUAAAGCUCUAUCAGCAGGGAAGAAAAUGACGGUACCUGAUUAAGAAGCCCCGGCUAACUACGUGCCAGCAGCCGCGGGAAUACGUAGGGGGCAAGCGUUAUCCGGAUUUACUGGGCGUAAAGGGAGCGUAGACGGCAGCACAAGUCUGGAGUGAAAUGCCGGGGCUUAACCCCGGAACUGCUUUUGAAACUGGGCAGCUAGAGUGCAGGAGAGGUAAGUGGAAUUCCUAGUGUAGCGGUGAAAUGCGUAGAUAUUAGGAGGAACACCAGUGGCGAAGGCAGCUUACUGGACUGUAACUGACGUUGAGGCUCGAAAGCGUGGGGAGCAAACAGGAUUAGAUACCCUAGUAGUC
rnacentral:rRNA from 1 species